UCUCUCUCUCUGUCUCUCUCUCUCUCUCUCUCUCUCUCUCUCUCUCUCUCUCUCUCUCUCUCUCUCUCUCUCUCUCUCACUCCUGCUGAAAUUGAAAGUAAAAGUGUUUUCGAAGCUAAACUGCGCCAUUUCACUUCCUGCUUCAAAAGACUUGAACUGUCGAGAGGCCUACAGAAAAGGGUAAACAUGGGCAGUUCAGAAAGCAAAAGUUCAGCAAACGAGGAGGAGGAGAAAAAAC